GAAGCGUGACAUGGUCGCAGAACAGUUGGUCAAGACUUUCGGAUCGGACGUUGGCUUUAGACAAGAAAGUCCUCACAUUUGGAAGUUCUCCGAUGGUAGACUCUCCGAUACCUAAGUCAAUCUCCUACAGAAGCAAAUAGAAGGGGUUUGAGCUUUUAAAGAGAAUUUCACAGUGAAGUCAAGUAUGAAGUGGAACAAGUUGCCAUGAG
rnacentral:lncRNA from 1 species